CCGGUCUGGGUUAAAGAAGGUGUGUGUGAGAUCGUUCCCGUCGUCCUCAGGGAUUUUGAAGGGCUCGUUCUUGAUGCUGUCAUACAGGUUCUGUGUGGAGGAGAAAAUAACACUAGGACUUGAGGACAGAGAGACGGAGAGGAAGGUAGAGGACCCCUGGGGCAGGGGGAUGGACAGAGAGGAAGGUAGAGGACCCCUGGGGCAGGGGGAUGGACAGAGAGACGGAGAGGAAGGUAGAGGACCCCUGGGGCAGGGGGAUGGACAGAGAGACGGAGAGGAAGGUAGAGGACCCCUGGGGCAGGGGGAUGGACAGAGAGACGGAGAGGAAGGUAGAGGACCCCUGGGGCAGGGGGAUGGACAGAGAGACGGAGAGGAAG